GUCACUGCUGCGAUCAACAGGAAAUAACAAUUAUUACAAUAAAUUAUCAUUACUAUUAUUAUUAUUAUUAUUAUUACAAACUAAAACCGCGUGAUAACACCGUGUAUAGUGCAAUAUAAAAUACUGUUCACGGCAUAUUAUAUAUAUUAUAGCGGUUAGAUGGCCGUCAGUCGCAGCGCUUAAUCGUAUUAUAUAUGUAUGUGGUGGUCAUAAACGCGUAAACGCCAGACCGCGGCAGUCGUUAUUUACCAAAAUCCCACACUAUAAAAUAUUAUAAUGCACUAAGAUCUUACAAUUAUUAUUUUUUGUACUGCCAUCGUCGUUGUAAAGUGCACUAGAGUCGAAGAAAACGAAGAAACACGAGAUCCUAAGAAUGUUCUUGUGGAUGUAAUAAAACCGGACCACAGACAACUUCUGAAAAACUGCAGAGCCACAAAGCAAUAAUUAAGCAUAAAAAGUAUGUGUGCAAGUACGGUACGCGUUCAGCUGCUUUCAACUUCAUAAUUAAUUUUAUAUUAUUCAUUUACGAUUUAUAUACCAAUAGGUCGGACGGAACCGCCGCUGCUAACUGUACGGCACGGAAAUGUCGUCAUGAGCACGCUGGGCAAUAUUACGCGUCUGUGUAAAUAUUCGCGCGUUCAAAUAUUUAAACGACAUUGACAAAGUGCAACGCAAAGUUUAACAACGUUACGAAGCUAAAAUUAUUAAUUAAUCACGAACUGAUAAAAUCGGCAUGGUGAUGGAAUCUAGCACACACAUAUAAUGGAAGCCUCACAUAUAAAAUAUACCUAAGUUCUCUUUUAAAUUGCACCACCAUGAACGGAACGAACUCGCGUCUAACACCAAAUUUAUCGCCAUUUUAAAAUAAAUAAUAUAUUAUAUACGAGAAAUCCAGACGAAUAGUUCUCACGCGUGAACAAAUCGGUCCUGAUAUAAUAUGCCCGGUUGAUCAUAUACGCUUAUAUAUGUUUGACUUGAAUUUACCAUACAUGUAUAAAGAUCUAAAAUAGUAAAAAAAAAAAAAAAAUCUACAAACAUACUAACAGCAUGUUAAUUUCAAAACAAUUUCAGCUAUUACUUUUUAGUUUUUAACUUUGUGCAUGUUUAUACAUGCAUAAUAGGCACAUUAAUACGAUAAGAAAUAAUAAUCAUUAUAAUUUACAAUAAUUACAAUAAUACGAGUAAAAUAAUGUUAUAUUAUUAAAUCGAUCAAGUAUUGAUUAUCACGGUAUUUUUAAAUCGAAAA